rnacentral:snoRNA from 1 species
CCCCUCUCAGAGUCACACCUGGAGAGUUUCCGGGACUCUACCGGUCUCGACUAUGGGAGGGAGAGUCAAGCAGAGGCAUAGGCAUUCCAUUCCUAGUUUGGGGCAGUGGCUAGCGAGUGGAAGAAAAUCUGCAACAAGU